UUGUUUUUACCAGAAAUCUGGGAAUAUGGGAAGAAUGAGUUCAUGGAUGAGACGCGUUGACGAGGAAGACGGAGAUGGGGAAAGGUAUAAUCCAGCUGGGUGCAUGUGGAAGCGAUUCAUAUGUGCUCUGGACUACCAUCACUAGCACUAUAAUAAUGUCAGGAAGAAGCUUCUGCCCAGAGUGAUAAAUGAUAAGAACAAGACCAAAUCGAUUCACAAUGAUACUGGAAAAGCACAGAGACUUUUGGAGGAUGAAGAAACAUAUUUGCAGGUUAACCAGAACCCGAAAAAGC